UUAGGCAGGAAGGCAGAGUAAGAGGAUGAGGAGAAAGAGGGUCCAUGAUCAUAGAGGAAAAGAAAAGAGGAUCCCCUCAGUCUGGGAGCAGACUGCCCAGGGCUGGCAUGACAGUCGCCUGCAGUAAAGAGCUCAAUACAGUGAUUUAAAAAAGUAUUGAUCUUGUGUCUCUUGUGUUUGUGUUUAACCUUGGUAGUUGGUUUACCGCAGCUCCGUGUCACGGUAAACUCUAGGUUCUCUGUGCUCAGGGACAACUCCAGAACAUGCACUGGCUGUACCCUGGCUGUCUUGGACCCUGUCCAAGGACGUUGAGUUACUGGAAGUGCCAGUGGGGCCUGAUGCCUGAGCUCACUGGUGAGGCCCCAGAAAGGCACAGCAAGGACCCUGAGCUGGGGUGGCGAGUGUGGUUGUGUGUUUUGGGAAGAAUGACUCAUCAGUGUGUGCACACAGAAACCUUUGGAAAAUGACUUUGUGUCCAGAACUUCACAUCCUUCCCUUCUCAGCUGAUGCGUCACUCUAUUCACUCUACCAAAGCUGGGUGGAAUGCCAAUUUGAUGGUGCCAUAUUGGAAACAAGGGCAUGACAGAGCAACAAGAUAAAGCUUCAGGAGCAAAGCCACCACAGUGGUUUUACAUGACAUAGAAGUAAAAUUGUAAUUUGCUAAGCCACAUUUUGGGCAGAUUUUACGUGCAGACAAAUUUAUAAUCUAACAAAUGCAUUCAUUUAGAAUCUGUUCAUACCGAUGUCACACUAAUACUUGGCUUUUGUUGCUGUUUUUAUGGUGGUGCUGUGUACCGUCAAUUCCGACUCAGAGUAGAAAUGCCCCAUAGGUUUUCCUAGGCUGUAAUCUUUAUAGGAGCACAUCAACAGGUUUUUUCUCCCUCGGAGCUGUGGAUGGGUUGGAACUGCUUAUUAGCAGCUGAGUGCUUAACAAUUGUGCCACCGGGGCUCCUCAUUUCUAUGGUGCGUAGGAUAAAUACCCACUCAGUGAAAGGAUAGGGAGUCUGUGACCAUAAA